CUACAGAAGGUAGCGAGCGUUGUUCGGAUUUAUUGGGCGUAAAGGAUGCGUAGGCUGUUUACAUAAGUCAAAUGUGAAAUUUCGAAGCUUAACUUCGAAGCUGCAUUUGAUACUGUGUUGACUAGAAUUUGGGAGAGGUAAGUGGAAUUCCUAGUGUAGAGGUAAAAUUCUUAGAUAUUAGGAGGAACAUCAGAGGCGAAGGCGACUUACUGGAACAAUA
rnacentral:rRNA from 1 species